rnacentral:tRNA from 1 species
GUGCCCGUAGCUCAACUGGAUAGAGCGUCUGACUACGAAUCAGGAGGUUGGGGGUUCGAAUCCCUCCGGGCGCACCA